AUUGAACGCUGGCGGCGUGGCUAAAGCAUGCAAGUCGAGCGAACCCGCAAGGGUGAGCGGCGGACGGGUUAGUAAUACGAUCGAACGUGCCCUGAGGCGGGGGAUAGGCGUGGGAAACUGCGCGUAAUACCCCAUGAUCUCUCCGGAGCAAAGGUUUCCACCUUGGGAUCGGCGAUCGUCCUAUCAGCUAGUUGGCGGGUAAAGCCACAAGGCUAUGACGGUANCAGGUGGAGAGCACGACCUGCAACAUC
rnacentral:rRNA from 1 species